GUAAUAAAUAUUUCACGCCUAUCAGAAGUUUGGCAAAAUAAAACUCCGAUCGCCCUUUCUUCUCAUGUUCAUCCGAAAAAAGAGGCAAACGCCGUGUCGACCAGCUACGAUUUUUUCUCUUGUUCGUCCCAGAACACAGGAAGAUAACAGGAGAAAGUGGUGUUUUUAGUUUGAGACUUGGUUUCUUGCGUUAGACAUUGUUAAAGGUACACAAUUCUGGCUUGUUUUGAGUAAUAAAUCAAAAUUAUCUUUUGUCGUCGGUCGAUAGCUUGGUGUGAGAAUAAGAAGAGCCUCAAAGCGAGAGAGAGAGAAUGGAUCCUUCGGAAGAAUCGGAGGCCUGUCGGUUGCGUAAUGCCUUUGGCUUGUCGUCAGACGAGGUGAAAGUUUGUUAUGUAACCACCACACAGAGAAGUAGGCCGAGAUUCCAGGUGGGAUAAGAAUUGUCAGCAAGACUCUUGAGCUAGUAUGGUUUAUGACUUGUUUUAGUUUCAGUUAUUAUUUUUGCAUAAAACUCAUGAUUUUGAAUGAAUUUCAA